rnacentral:rRNA from 1 species
GAUGAACGCUAGCGGCAGGCCUAAUACAUGCAAGUCGAACGGGAUCUGAGGGUAGCUUGCUACCCGAUUUGAGAGUGGCGCACGGGUGCGUAACGCGUGAGCAACCUACCCAUAUCAGGGGGAUAGCCCGAAGAAAUUCGGAUUAACACCGCAUAAUAAUACGCUAACACAUGUUAAUGUAUUUAAAUAUUUAUAGGAUAUGGAUGGGCUCGCGUGACAUUAGCUAGUUGGUAAGGUAACGGCUUACCAAGGCGACGAUGUCUAGGGGCUCUGAGAGGAGAAUCCCCCACACUGGUACUGAGACACGGACCAGACUCCUACGGGAGGCAGCAGUAAGGAAUAUUGGUCAAUGGGCGCAAGCCUGAACCAGCCAUGCCGCGUGCAGGAUGACUGCCCUAUGGGUUGUAAACUGCUUUUGUACGGGAAUAACCCUUUCUAUGUAUAGGAAGCUGAAUGUACCGUAAGAAUAAGGAUCGGCUAACUCCGUGCCAGCCGCCGCCGUAACAC